AAUAGGACCAUUUUUUCAGUUUUUUGAUAUAAUGUUUUGACUCUUCGUCUUAUUUGAAAUUUUUUGCGAUUAAUAUUUUUUUCUUACUGGAUAAUAAAACAUAAAUAAUACUUUAGCGUGACUAAUUUUUUAAAGUUUUUUUAUAAAUUUUUAAAUAAGAUGAAUAGUCAAAUAGUGGGCAUGGAAAAAC
rnacentral:pre_miRNA from 1 species